UAUGGCAGCCAUAUCACCCUGUAGCCCAAGCCUGGUUGCCCACUGAAGCUAAGCAGGGCUGAGCCUGGUCAGUACCUGGAUGGGAGACCUCCUGGGAAAACUAGGUUGCUGCUGGAA
rnacentral:rRNA from 1 species